GACGAACGCUGGCGGCGUGCUUAACACAUGCAAGUCGAACGGAAAGGCCCUGCUUUUGUGGGGUGCUCGAGUGGCGAACGGGUGAGUAACACGUGAGUAACCUGCCCUUGACUUUGGGAUAACUUCAGGAAACUGGGGCUAAUACCGGAUAGGAGCUCCUGCUGCAUGGUGGGGGUUGGAAAGUUUCGGCGGUUGGGGAUGGACUCGCGGCUUAUCAGCUUGUUGGUGGGGUAGUGGCUUACCAAGGCUUUGACGGGUAGCCGGCCUGAGGGGGUGACCGGCACCGUUGGCACGCGGAUGCGACCCAGAUCCCUCGGGGGGGGAUGGGUGGGGAUGUUAGCGAAAUGGGCGAACGCCUCAUCGAACAAGGCGGGGGGGGGGAGUGCGGCCUUGGGGUGGGAAACCCUUUCCGCUGGGGGCGAGGCGUGGUUGCCGGUAAUGGUCAAAGAAACACCGGCUAACUAGGG
rnacentral:rRNA from 1 species